UCCAAAUAAAUGCACAGACGUGGUAGUGUCCGUUUGGGUUCCAGGAAAACCCAGUGGACUUUGGACAAGGCUAUCUUAAAGAGUCAUUAUGCGAACAACGUAAUCGACUCGGCUAGGUUUGAUCAUGAUGCAUGCACAAUUGAAUGUAGUAAGGUUUUUAUCGGGUGCUAGACCGGUACCCGUAUGCGGAAAACUCAGGAGGAAAAGGUACGGAACCGUCGACUACACUAUUGAUCGACUGGUUUUACCGGAAAUACGCCUUUGCCAAAUUUAGGGGGUGAUAAUAUUGGAAUGGCGCAACCACUCAUUAUAAGCAUUGCUAUUGUAUUUUGU
rnacentral:lncRNA from 1 species